rnacentral:rRNA from 1 species
GGGUUGUGAGGUUAAGCGACUAAGCGUACACGGUGGAUGCCCUGGCAGUCAGAGGCGAUGAAGGGCGUGCUAAUCUGCGAUAAGCGCCGGUAAGGUGAUAUGAACCGUUAUAACCGGCGAUACCCGAAUGGGGAAACCCAGUGUGAUUCGUCACACUAUCAUUAACUGAAUCCAUAGGUUAAUGAGGCGAACCGGGGGAACUGAAACAUCUAAGUACCCCGAGGAAAAGAAAUCAACCGAGAUUCCCCCAGUAGCGGCGAGCGAACGGGGAGGAGCCCAGAGCCUGAAUCAGCAUGUGUGUUAGUGGAAGCGUCUGGAAAGGCGCGCGAUACAGGGUGACAGCCCCGUACACAAAAGCGCAUGUGCUGUGAGCUCGAUGAGUAGGGCGGGACACGUGGUAUCCUGUCUGAAUAUGGGGGGACCAUCCUCCAAGGCUAAAUACUCCUGACUGACCGAUAGUGAACCAGUACCGUGAGGGAAAGGCGAAAAGAACCCCGGCGAGGGGAGUGAAAAAGAACCUGAAACCGUGUACGUACAAGCAGUGGGAGCACAGGUUUACCUGUGUGACUGCGUACCUUUUGUAUAAUGGGUCAGCGACUUAUAUUCUGUAGCAAGGUUAACCGAAUAGGUGU